UGCGAACACGAAUAAUUAUUGGACUUCUCCCAUCCAGUACAUCAUUGAUGCCGCCAUGCCUGAAUCCCACGUGGCUGCCAUUCGGAGUGCAAUUACCGAGUGGGAAUCGCUGACAUGUCUUCGCUUCCAACAAACAUCGACACCGGUUGGGAACUACUUGCAAAUAAUUUACGGAAAUGGGUGUUGGUCCUUCCUGGGAAUGCAGCAGGGCGGACAGCUCCUCUCUCUCGG